rnacentral:lncRNA from 1 species
GAGGGCAAUUGACCAAUCAAGGUCUGCAAUCAUAGUUCUUUCGACAAACUUUGCUUCUUCAAGUUGGUGUUUGCGAGAACUUACUCAUAUUGUUCGAUGCAUGAAAGAGAAAAAGAGAAUUUUUCCCAUUUUUUAUGGCGUGGAUCCUUCUGAUGUACGCCAUCAGCGAGGGAGUUUUGGGAAAGCCAUUGCGGAACAUGAAGUAAAUUAUCGAGAACACAUGGAGGAGGUAAAUGAGUGGAGAAAGUCGUUGAAAAGGGUGGCUAAUCUCGCUGGGUGGAAUUCAAAGGAUUAUAGGUAAGCAAGAGGCAACAACUGACGUUUAAGCUGAAGAAGACCAAUUUUUUACUAUUGAGUUUCAACGUUACCAUGCACUUUAUUUUACGAUGUGAUGAUUUUUUAUUUACGUUAUUUGUUCUUCUUGUAGGUAUGAUACAGAGCUUAUCCAAGGAAUCGUCAAUACACUAUGGGAGAAAGUGCAUCCUACGUUUUCAAUGUUAGAUUCCUCAGAGAGGUUUGUCGGAAUUGAUUCUAAACUGGAGGAAAUAGAUUUGCUUUUAGAUACAGAUGCAAACGAUGUUCGCUUUAUAGGGAUACGGGGGAUGGGUGGAGUGGGUAAGACAACCCUAGCUAGAUUAGUUUACGAGAGAAUUUCUGAUGAUUUUGAAGGUAGCAGUUUUCUUGCUAAUGUUAGAGAGGUCUGCAGAGCACAUGAUGGUGUAGCUCAUCUACAAAAGCAGCUUCUUUCUGAUAUCUUAAGGGAAAAUAACAUACAAGUUUGGAAUGCUUAUAGUGGAAUCACUAGGAUAAGUAGGUGUUUAUGCAGUAAAAAGGUUCUUCUCAUACUCGAUGAUGUGGAUCAAUUAGACCAACUAGAAAAGUUGGUCAAACAAAAAGAGUGGUUUGGUUUCGGGAGUAGAAUCGUCGUUACAACUAGAGAUGAACGUUUGUUAGUUGAACAUGGUAUAGAGAUGGUAUAUGAGGUUAAGCCAUUAACCCAAGAUGAAGCUUUUUCUCUCUUUAGUUGGAAAGCCUUUAAAGAUGAUGAGUUGGAAGAGGAUUUUUUAGAACUGUCUAAAUGUUUCAUCAGUUAUGCAAGAGGUCUUCCAUUAGCUCUUAAAACUUUAGGGUCUUUAUUGUACAAAAGAGGUCGAGAUGAAUGGAAGAGUGCACUAGAUAAACUGAAGCAAGCUCCAAAUAAGACAAUUUUUGAAACAUUGAAAAUAAGUUAUGAUGGACUAGAUGAGCUUGAGAAGAGAAUCUUCCUUGACAUUGCAUGUUUCCAUAAGUUUUGUGAAAGGGAGCGAGUAAUUGAAAGACUAGAAAACUGUGGCUUUGUUGGCACUCGCGUUGUGAUCCAAGUUCUUUUUGAGAAAUCUCUCUUGUAUAUUUCAUACAAGUCUGUGUCUAUGCAUGAUUUGAUACAAGAAAUGGCAUGGGAGAUUGUUCGACGAGAGUCUUACGAGGAGGCAGGUGGUCGUAGUCAGUUGUGGCUUCCUAAUGAUAUCUUGCAUGUGCUUGCAGAGAAUACAGUAAGAAGUUGCGUGAAAAUGAAAAUACCAAAGUUUGGAUAGGACACUAUAAUAAUAUUUAACAUGAUAAAAGACUGUAUUAUGAAAUUAACUAUUCCUUUAAUCUUAUUUAUCAGGGAUCAGAAGCAAUUGAAGGCAUAGUUUUACACUUAAGUGAAUUUGAAGAGGCACACUGCAAUCCUGAAGCUUUCACUAAGAUGUGUAACCUGAGGUUGCUCGACAUUCAUAAUGUGAGCCUUUCUAAGGGCCCCAAGUAUAUUCCGAAUGCUUUAAGAGUUCUCAAAUGGAGCUGGUAUCCCUCCAAAUGUCUCCCACCAAUUUUUCAACCGGAUGAACUUACAGUACUUAGUCUGCAGCAUAGCAAAAUUGAUCACCUUUGGAAUGGAAUAAAGGUAGAUGAUUGGACAACUGAAUUUUACUUUGUCAAUUACAAUAAUUGUAAUUUCUGGACAUGAACUAUUGUACCAUUUCAUUUUUGUACAGUGCUUGGGCAAUUUGAAGUCUAUCGAUCUUAGUUACUCCCACAACAUGACAAGGACCCCAGAUUUCACAGGUAUUAAAAAUCUCAAAGAGCUGGUUCUUGAAGGUUGUACCAAUUUAAUUAAGAUUCAUUCAUCCAUUGGGUUUCUCAGAAGGCUUAGACUUUUAAAUCUCAAAGACUGUAAAAGUAUUAAGAAUCUCCCAAACAAGGUAGAAAUGGAAUCUCUUGAAGUAUUUGAUAUUUCUGGCUGCUCAAAACUGAAAAAGAUUCCAGAAUUUGUUGGAGAAAUGAAAAAUUUCUCUAAGCUUUCUGUAAGCCGAACCGUUGUUCAGGAAAUACCUUCCUCAGUUAUACGUUGGAGUUUGGAGGGGAUUGAUUUAAGUGGAAUUACUUUGAGAGAGACGGAAUCCUCCCUGGUUUCAGUGAAAAUUUCUCAACUAACAAAUUUUCUUGGAUGUAAUGCACCACCAGCUAGAUCAUGGCUUUCCUUCAUUUUUGGCGAAUUUCCAACAAAGAUUUCUCACCCUGUGAGUCUGGUCUUAGCUUCAUUGAAAGAUUUAUGCUUUCUGAAGAAUUUAAAUCUGGAGGACUGCAAUCUUUGUGAAGGAGCAAUUCCCGAGGAUAUUGGUUUCUUGUCUUCUUUAGAAAAACUAAAUCUUAGCGGAAACCAUUUUGUUAGCCUUCCUGCAAGCAUCAGUGGGCUUUCUAAGCUGAUGUGUUUUGAAUUGCAAAAUUGCAAAAGGCUUCAACAACUGCCAGCCACUUCCUUAAACAGCAGAUUAAGUAUACACACAGAGAAUUGUACUUCCUUAAAAAUGCUCCGAUAUUUACCACAUGCUUGCAGAUCAAGCAAGUUUUGGUUGACUUCUGUCAAUUGCUUCAGUUUGGCUGGAAAUCAAGGUUGCAAUGCCAUAAUGCAUUCAAUGCUAAAGAGAUUCAUUCAGGUGUUUCUCUUUCUUCUAUCCCCCCCCCCCUCUCCUUAGUUGUGUACAUUUAUUUACGUUGUUCCUUAUUGCAGGAGCUCCCUCAUUUUGUGGAAUUUUUCAGUAUACUAAUUCCUGGAAGUGAAAUUCCUGAGUGGUUCAAUAACCAAAGCAUGGGGGAUUCGGUGAUUGAGAAGCUACCUUCGCAUUCAUGCAAUAGGGAGGGGAUGGGAUUUGCUUUAUGCGCUAUAUUUGCAGCUGCUGAAAGUAUUUCAGCUCCCACUUGUGGACGAAAAUGGCUACGACGUCAUGAAUAUUUAAUUGAAUUUCGUUGCAGUUUUGGUUCAAACAGCACCUUUCAAGACAUGCCUCAGACUAUUGGAAUUAUGGUUAACAAGGUAGUGUCAGAUCACCUCUGGUUGGUCUUUCUAUCUUGGAAAUUUCUUUUCCCAUCAGAUCAUCAACCUGAGAAAAAUCGUUGGGAGAGCUGCUGGAAUCAGAUUCAGUUUCAUUUCGAAACAGAAUGUGCUGUCGGAAGCAAGACAUGCUUGAAGGUGAAGAAGUGCGGAGUCCGUCCACUGUAUGAACAAGAUACAGAAGAAGAGCUGAACCGAACGACUAAACAAUAUUCCGACCGAAGCAUUUCUUUGUGUGAGGAUGUUACCAAUUGUGAUUUUGAGGAAUAAAAAACUGUACAACGAGACGUGAUUAAGCGAACACGUGAACAAUACAGUAAUGAAGCAGGACCCAGUGAAAGUGGAAGUUCCUCCAAAGACCAAGUUGAAGAGGCAUAGUAUGGCGAAAGAAUUGUUGGUGUGAGUUGACUUUUAUUGUAAUUAGGAUGAUCUCGUUCCCCGUUUAAGUUUGUAUAAUUAGGGUAAAUAUUAUUGCAUAUUCUUACCUUGUAAAUUAAAGUCUGUAAUAUAGAUAUUUGCCUCUUUGGUGAGGAGAAUAAUAUUAGACAAAUGAAAUCCCAAAACAAGCCUAAAUUAGCAUUAUAUGAGAACAGAGAUUCUAGGAUUUCUGCUCUACCUGUUCCCUUCAGAAAAAAUUUCUAAUCCCGAUCUUACCGUGAACUCGAUGACUCUACCAUAAGUUGUAACAUAAAUCGAUCGACCAUGAACUUGAUGUCUAAGUAAGAGUCACGAUCUAGACGGGUGCUUUGGCGAAUUUGGACACACCCACCUGGAUCGUGACUCUCACUUAGACAAAAAAUAGAUAAUUUUCAUUGUACAUUUUACUUUUCAAUACUUGUAAGAUACUUGUUAAAUACUUGGAUGAAUAGUUAUUAUAUGUUUGAUCCCCAUGUUUUCAAUAUAUUCUAAUAUUUUAUAAUAUAUAUGUCAUUUUACUUUACAAUUUAUGUUUCACAAUGCAAUUAUGUAUUUUUUUAAGUAUAAAUAGACAUUUAUAUGUAUACGUUAUAUAUUCCGCUUAGGCUGCUAGGCCCUAGUCAACCGUCUAACUAGCGCAUAGCAUCUUUUAAAACCGUCUAACUAGCGCAUAGCAUCUUUUAAAACAUUGGUAGUGUGAGGAAAAUUACGUAACAAGUGAAUUAUAUAACACUUCUACUUGGAACCUGCCAGCAUAUUAAUGUAAGGCCUCGUCCUUUCCGCUUUGCCACGUUUUUCUUCUUUCCCUCUCAUUGAUGGGUAUAUCUUAUAUAUAAAGCCAACAAGCCCAAUGAAUAGUGUUUUUUGGUGUCACAAGUUUCACCAAAAAUAAUUAGACAAAAAUGCCCCUCAAACAAAAAACUUUAAAAGCAAUCCAAAAUAAUGCAUCAAAUAUGAUAGUGUUGUAAACAUUCCUAGUUUAAGUAUGAUUGUGUAAAUCCUAGAUAAGAUUUGAUUCUAGUUAUCCUUUCCUAUUACAACUUGUAUUACUUGGAGGAGAAGAAAUAUCUUCUCUCCCUUUACUACUAUAAAUAAAGGCACAAUGUAGGAGGGAUAACAACACACACAUUCCCCUACAAUUCUACAAACACACAUCUCUCUCCUCUCUCUCUCUGCCGCCGGCCCUAGUCAAUCUGUCAGAUAAAAUAGACCACAACACGUUAUCAGCACGCUCCUACCGCUGCGCUUAGGAAUCUGACGUUGGAAAUUUUUUCUGCAUCAAACCAGUUCAUCCAUAUCAUCACGCAAUCAGGUUCUUUCCAAACAACGGCUUUUAACUCGAUAUUUUGCAAGCCCUGAUAGCAUGAACAUUCACCAUGAUGCAUGACCCAACUUUACGUUUUACGUAUUUUAGAUUCUACAUAAAUUGUGUAUGCUUCAUCAUCAAAAUUGCUACAAUUAUGUGAAUUUGAUAUUUGUCAUGAAUUGAAUCCUACAUAUGUACAUGCAUUGAAACUAUUAUUUGCAUAUGCAUCAACGUACAUAUGUGAUUCAUUGAAAUCCACAUGCAUAUAAUUAUAUUUGAAUUGAAAUUUUUUUUUUGCGAUUUGGGGAUUAGGGUUCUAGUCGAACCCGUGCCUUUGCACCAUGCAAGGCCGCAAGCCACCAGGCCCGCAGCCUGCGAUGGCCCAACCCAAACCGAGAACCAAGGCCGAAAGCCUUGAACCGAAACGGUGCGUUUGAAGCACCUUGUCCCGACCUACGGCCUGAAGCCUAGGUCCUCGCCGUCGAUUUUCCGACACAACACGACCUGCAGUCGUGCAAACUUGGACACCACCCAUCGUUUUCACCAACGAUUUCUAGAAAUUCCAGAAGAAUUUCAUGGGUCUUCACUCGAAUUCAAUUGAAUUCAUUCGGUUUUUUUUCUUCCAUCGACGUCGAGAUCUCUUAUUCGUCGACAAACACCUGGUUCUUCGACGAACCAUGGCUUGCUCGACCCUGGACACACCGCCUGCCAUGGCGCCGUCCACGAACUCCGGCUUUCUCUUCGGCAUCGCACACCCAGCCCGGCUGGGAUUUCUUUUGGGUCUCUUUCCCGAACCCUACUCGGGCUCUGUCUCUCGGCCCGUGUAACAAAAGAAAAAAAAUAAUUUUUUUUGCUGGGCUCGCUUGCAGCGGCCCAGCCCACAAAGAAAACAAUUUGUUUUUUUAUUUUCCUGGGCUCGCCUGCAGCGGCCCAUACCGAAAAAAAAAGAGAAAUUUUUCUUAGGGCUACACACAGCAGCCCAUUCCCUUCUCACCCCGUGGGCCUGCAGCCUACACCCGGGGGUCCUCGGCCUAUAUUUUUAGGCCCCGAGAUUUUAUUAUUUAAUUUUUUUUAAAUAAUAUGGGUUUUUAUAUUUUCACCCACACUUUAAUUUGGCCCCGAAGACCAAAAAUAAAUUAAUUCACUUAUCAUUAUACAAUAUUUCUGCAUAUAUUCUUUGCAUAUAUAUUUGUGUUUGCCUGCAGGAAUAUAUGAACCUGAAGUUCAUAAUUACUUUGAAACCCGAAGUUUCUUAUACACAUGCCUUGUUAGAAAACCCGAAGUUUUCACUUAAACAUAUCACCCAUGAAAACCCGAAGUUUUUCAUGCAAAAUUAAACCAAUACAUGUCUAUUAGAACCUGUAUGUUCUACUCCUAUGUGAAUGGAUUGAUUUUUCUCCAUUACACUAACCACAUCUUGUCCAUCUAUUUUGUGAUAGGAACAUGUCGAACUUGAACAAACUCGACUUCACCGCUUUGGAGGUUUCUGGAAGGAACUACCUCAAGUGGGUUCAAGAUGUGAAGCUCCACCUCACUGCAAAGAACUUGCGUCCUGCUAUUGAAGAAGCAACAGAUAAACCUGUUGAAGAGGCUGAAAAAGCCACUGCUAUGAUCUUCAUCCGAAGACAUAUCCAUGACGCUCUACAAACUGAGUACCUUGCUGAGGAGGAUCCACGUGCAUUAUGGGUCGCUUUGGCUUAUCGUUUCGAUCACCAAAAGGACAUAUUCUUGCCUGAAGCAAGACACGACUGGCAGCACUUGCGCUUCCAAGACUUUAAGUCUGUGAAUGAAUAUAAUUCUGAAGUUUGUCGAAUCCGAUCACUUCUCAAGUUUUGCAAUGAAACUUUGACUGAAGAGGAUCUCCUGGAGAAGACCUACUCGACCUUCUCUGCUUCUAAUAUUGUCCUGCAGCAAUAAUAUAGAGCUCAGAAGUUCACUAAGUUCUCGGAUUUGAUCUCUGUUUUACUUCUUGCUGAAAAGCAGAACCAGCUGUUGAUGAAGAAUCAUCAAGCUCGACCUACUGGGGCUACUGCUGUGCCUGAAGCACAUUAUAGCACUAAUCAGCACCCAAAACGCCAAAAGAGGCGUGGUAAGGGCGGCCAGAAGCCAUCCCACCAAGGUCAACAGAGCCAAGGCCCAUCCAAGGGAGGAAACAAAGCCCAGAAGCGCCCAAACCUCGCUCCCAAGGCCCCGAACUUCAAGAAUAAGGGCAAAGCACCUGCCACAAUGAAUGACGAUAUGUGCUAUCGUUGUGGUUCCAAUGACCAUUGGUCCCGUAUUUGCCGUGCUCCCAAGAAGGUUGUGGAUGCAUAUCAUUCUCGUCGUACGAAGUUUGAAUCAAACUUCCUGCAAGUGGACGAACCGGAGACUACAAAGAUGGAGGUUUCUGAUUUUCAGGAGGAUACUACUCUUAUGGAAGAUUAGAAUCUUAGACAUAGACUUAUUUUUCAGUUAAAAUAAGACAAUUGGGGCCGAAUUCCACCUUGUGGCCGAACCCCACCUUGUUUUUUGGUUGAUUUUGAACAAUUUUCCUUUAUGUUUUGGAUUAUUAGUUGGCGAUUUAUUUUGGAUAUUAAGUUUUUUCCUUGAAUAAAUGAAAUUAUUUUGAAUUGAUACUUGUUUUUAUAAACUUUUAUGCAUGUGACCGAUUCAAAUUAAUUUUUCAUUCUAGGUAUGACUAGUGGGAAAGUUAGUUGUCUGGCAGAUAGUGCAACCACGCAUACUGUUUUGCGUGAACGCAUCUAUUUCACUAACUUCGUACCUAAGAAUGCACCUCUGACAACCCUCUCAGGCCCAUCCAACCUGAUCGAAGGAUACGAUAAGGCAUGUAUAAUGUUGUCCAAUGGUACAAUCUUGACCAUUGCUGAGGCACUCUAUUCUCCACGUUCCGGAAGAACGUUACUAAGUUUCAAGGACAUUAGAGAUAACAAUUACCACGCUGAAACCCACGUAGAAAACGGAGUUGAAUUUCUGUGCGUAACUUCCUACGAAUAUGGCCAGAAGCGUAUUCUAGAGAAGAUGGAGCGUAACCCGAGUGGUCUGUAUACUACGACCAUACGCCCCAUAGAAUGCCACUAUGUGGCCGGCCCUACCACAGGGACCGCGCACGAAAUUACACUUUGGCAUGAUCGUUUGGGACAUCCUGGACGAAUAGCGAUGCGCUGUAUCCUCAAAACUUCACACGGGCAUCCACUAACCCGAAGCUUAGGUUCGAUCCAUGAAAUUGCAUGUCAAACAUGUUCUAUGGGAAAGCUUAUUACUAAGCCUUCUUAUGACAAGAUUCGUUCGAAUCCUCCCAUUUUUCUACAACGGAUUCAGGGGGACAUUUGUGGACCGAUUCAACCUCCAUGCGAACCAUUUAGAUAUUUUAUGGUUUUGGUUGACGCUUCUACACGUUGGUCACACGUGUGCUUGUUGUCCACAAGGAACGCUGCAUUCUCCAAACUGUUGGCUCAAGUUAUCAAGCUCAGGGCUCACCACCCUGAUUAUCCGAUCAAAUCUAUUCGAUUGGAUAAUGCUGGAGAAUUCACAUCUAAAACUUUUGAUGACUAUUGCAUGUCGGUUGGGGUUGAAGUUGAACAUCCUGUACCCCAUGUUCACACCCAGAACGGCCUGGUAGAGGCUUUCAUUAAGCGUUUACAAAUGAUUGCUCGAUCGUUGGUCAUACGUACCAAGCUCCCGAUCGCUGCUUGGGGCCAUGCAAUAUUGCACGCAGCAAAGUUGGUCCGCCUGAGGCCUGUUGCGACACAACCAUUUAGUGCCCUUCAGUUGGUCACCGGAUGCGAACCCGACAUAUCGCAUCUGCGCGUUUUUGGUUGUGCGGUCUAUGUGCCGAUCUCGCCGCCCUUACGUACAAAAAUGGGGCCUCAGCGAAGGAUGGGAAUCUAUGUCGGAUAUGAUUCUCCUUCGAUUAUUCGUUACUUAGAACCUUUGACAGGCGAUCUGUUUACCGCUCGUUUCGCGGAUUGUCACUUCUAUGAGACAGUCUUCCCGUCGUUAGGGGGAGAUAAGAACGUCAACGUUCCUAAUGAACGACGCGAAUUAUCGUGGACGACUCCCACUUUGUCUCAUUUAGAUCCCCGCACCGCUCAGUCUGAAGCUGAAGUGCAGCGCAUAUUAGAUCUCCAGAGCAUAGCUCAGAGCAUGCCAGAUGCUUUCACCGAUCUAGCGCGCGUGACAAGAUCACAUAUUCCAGCUGCGAAUACGCCUGCAAAGAUGGAUGUACCAAAUGUACGACGGACUACCCUCCUGGAAGCCCGGGAUGCCAAUUCUGGUGAUCCACGUACAUUAGCGGCUAGCCAAUCAUCUGCCCCUACACAAAAGCGUGGCAGACCCCUUGGUUCAAAGGAUUCACACCCCCGGAAGAGGAAAACCACGACACAAGGUCCUGAAGAGCCUACCGUGAAUCCGACUAUCGCUUACUCAUUUUACCCAACUCAUGAGGAAAUUCUAGAUUAUGGAAGCGUCCUUGAAGAGACGAAUCCUCCUCCCGAGAAUCGUGAGAUUUCGGUCUAUUAUGCUAGCUUAGAUGAUGUGUGGCGUAGAAAUGAGAUGAUUGUCGACGAUGCAUUAGCAUUUGCAGUAGCUACUGAGAUCAUGUUGAGCGAUGACAUUGAACCGCGUUCCGUUGAUGAAUGUCGACGUAGAGCUGAUUGGUCAAACUGGAAACAAGCAAUCCAAGUCGAACUUGAUUCACUUGCGAAACGUAAGGUGUUUGGACCUGUAGUUCCUACUCCUCCACAUGUGAAGCCCGUUGGCUACAAGUGGGUUUUCGUUCGGAAGCGUAAUGAGAAGAACGAAAUUGUGCGUUACAAAGCUCGUCUUGUAGCACAAGGUUUCUCACAACACCCCGGGAUUGACUAUGACGAAACUUACUCACCCGUUAUGGAUGUGAUUACUUUUCGAUACCUUAUCAGUUUGGUAGUUUCCGAAAAACUGGAUAUGCAGCUGAUGGACGUAGUAACCGCGUAUCUCUAUGGGGAUCUUGAUACGGAAAUUUAUAUGAAAGUUCCCGAAUGACUUACAUUGACUGGUUCAAAUAUUUCCAAACCCCGGAACACGCUCUCAAUUCGGCUGAGGCGUUCACUAUACGGUUUGAAACAAUCCGGAAGAAUGUGGUAUAACCGUUUAAGUGAGUAUUUGACUAGUCAGGGAUAUGUGAAUAAUGAACUAUGCCCUUGUGUGUUCAUUAAGAAGUCACAUUCCGGAUUUGCGAUUGUUGCAGUAUAUGUCGAUGACAUGAAUCUCAUCGGAACUCCUGAAGAGCUCGCGAGAACUGCUUCGCACCUGAAGUCGGAAUUUAAGAUGAAAGAUCUAGGUAAGACUCGAUACUGUCUCGGUCUCGAGAUAGAGCAUUGUUCGGAUGGAAUCCUAGUACAUCAAUCGAACUACACCCAGAAGGUGUUGCGCCGUUUUAAUGAGGAUAAAGCGAAGUCUUCGAGUACUCCUAUGGUCGUUCGUACGCUAGAUGCAAAGCGAGAUCCCUUCCGUCCGAAGGAGGAUGAUGAAGAGAUUUUGGAGCCUGAAGUUCCUUAUCUAAGUGCGAUAGGCGCUUUAUUGUACUUAGCUCAAUGCACUAGACCCGACAUCUCCUUCGCUGUUAAUCUUUUGGCAAGAUACAGCAAUGCACCAACACGCAGACAUUGGACUGGCGUGAAAUACAUCUUCCGUUACCUUAAGGGUACUACGGAUUUGGGCUUAUUCUAUCCCUACGAAUCCUCGAGUGAUGCCGCACCCUAUGCUCAUCGGGUUAAUUCUCGCCUUGUUGGUUAUGCUGACGCUGGAUACUUAUCUGAUCCGCACAAGGCGCGUUCUCAAACGGGUUAUGUCUUUACCGUUGGAGGCACCGCAAUAUCUUGGAGGUCAACUAAACAGACCUUAGUUGCCACUUCGUCUAACCAUGCUGAAAUUCUCGCCUUACAUGAAGCAACUCGGGAAUGCUUUUGGUUGAGAGCAGUAGUGGGCCAUAUUCGAAGCUCCUGUGAUCUUCAUCCCGCCGUUAAUGCCCCGACGACGAUUUUUGAAGACAACGCAGCUUGCAUCGAACAACUCAAGAAGGGUUACAUCAAAGGAGACAACACCAAGCAUAUUGCGCCGAAGUUCUUCUUUACACAUCAACAACAAGAGCAUCAGAAGAUUGAAGUCACGCAAAUCCGAUCACAAGACAAUCUGGCCGACCUCUUCACCAAAUCACUACCGAAGGCGACGUUUCAGAAGCUUGUUCAUGGAAUUGGUAUGCGUAAACUUUCUGAGUUGUAACUUUGCUAUUUCUCUGUGGAAUUAUGUCAAACUCAGGGGGAGUAUCUUCUAGAUACUUGCUUGAUCUUAAUGUACUCUUUUUCCCUACGAUUAGGAGCAUUUUUCCCACUGGGUUUUUGCUACCUAACUAGGUUUUAACGAGGCACCCACCUUGGGCUGGUCAUAUCCCUGAUGACGUCCUGUAGACGUUUCUUUUGACUUUGCAUUUCUCACGCAUUUUUCCUUAGACUAUGGAUUUUGUCCCUACUUGGGUUUUUGCCAUAGCCUUAGGGUUUUUUAGUGAAACUUACUACUUAUGCAAGUUCCUACCUUAUUGAGAAUAAGCGUUGUUCCUUGGAAUCAAUGUCGACGAGUCGACUUCCUCAACUUCUGCAUGAUGCUGAAUCUACCUUGAGUAUUUACCCACUCAAGGGGGAGUGUUGUAAACAUUCCUAGUUUAAGUAUGAUUGUGUAAAUCCUAGAUAAGAUUUGAUUCUAGUUAUCCUUUCCUAUUACAACUUGUAUUACUUGGAGGAGAAGAAAUAUCUUCUCUCCCUUUACUACUAUAAAUAAAGGCACAAUGUAGGAGGGAUAACAACACACACAUUCUCCUAUAAUUCUACAAACACACAUCUCUCUCCUCUCUCCCUCUGCCGCCGGCCCUAGUCCCUCUGUCAGAUAAAAUAGACCACAACAGACAUGAGUAUUUUCAUCAUUUUAACAGUGUUUUUUUAAUAAUUAAUUUUUUUGUACAAUUUUUUUAAUUAGUACCUCACAAUAGGCUAGCAAUAAUGUGAUUCAAGAUAUUCAUUAAAUAUUAUUUUCUCUAUCUUUAAACACGUUCAAAACAUUUUAAGAGCCGGUUAUAAAAAAGGUCUUUCGCACGCGAAUAAUAAUGUGAUUGAAUUAGUUGUCAAAUGAUUGUUUUUUUUAACAAACAAGAUUACCUACACUAAAGGGGAGGGGGAGGGCUUAGCCUCACAAUGGGUUAGCAAUAAUGUGAUUCAAUCAGUUGUUUAUUAAAUAUUAUUUUCUCUAUUCUUAAUGUAAAUUCUAUAGAGACCAAUUUCAUUAUGUGGAUUUAGCUGUUUUAAUUGAUUUAUGAGAGAUUUCUUCUAGCAUGAUCUAAGAUUAUUCAUUUACUUCCAAUAUUUAACUUUCCUUUUGUCAAUUUACGCAUAUAACGUGUAAAUCUUGCGUAACAUGCAAUGAUUAAAAAAAUGUAUUCUAUACGCGCGUGAGCGCAUGCAUAAAGGCUAGUUAGACCACUAAUUUCUCCUAUUUUUUCGUGAUAAAUGUGGAUUCUAUCCCAAUAUAUAAAAAGCCCUAUUGACCAAAUAACAUUAUGGAUCCGGUGUAGCAGUGUUUAACCAUGAAGCCCAUCCGACCGUCCAAUUAACAUCGAGUAUAAACAACAAACGUCUUCCUUUGCCAUUGGAUUCCACAAACAUAAGUUGAAUCCUCCGCCGUGAACGGGGUUUUUCUUUCUAGAGAUUAGUUAGAGUUCGUUUGGUACUCUACUUGAAUUCAACUUUUUAAACUCAAAAAUAAUUUUCAAGUUUUAAGGCUUAAAAACUUGUUUGGUAUGACUAUUUUAAAAAAUUGUACUCAAGUUUAACUAAAAAAUAUAGUCUAUUCUUUAAAAAUAUAAAAAAUGAGUUUUUAGAAUUUUUAAACUUAAACCCACUCCUUUAUUUUCUUUCCCUCCUCCCCUCUCACUCCAAAUCUCUCUUUUCUUUUUUCUCUCCUCUUUUUUUUUUACGUUUUUCGUCUCUCCUACAAUCUGGUCUUUUCAUUGUCUCGAUUCUUUCUCUCACUCUUCUUCCUCUCUAUCUCACCUGAUCCUCUCUCUUCUUUCUCUUUCCUUCAAUCAUCUCUUACUUUCUUUCCUCAUCUCUCCUCUCUCCUCCGACCCUCUCUUUUUAUAUCUGUUUGUCUAGUUUAAGUCAUAAGAUUUAAAAAUUUUAAAUCGCAAAUCAAUCAAGUUUUUUAAUCUUAAAAGAAAUUGUUUUCAAGAAUGUGAAAUGUUAAAAAUUUUCAAAUACAAAGCAGGCGCUUAGUUUGACAAGUUCGAAAUCGAAUUUCCGCCGGACUCAUAAUCUACGGUCAGUUUCGAUGCUGGCGAAAGGAAGAAAAGCUUCAGGGCGAGGAGAGGCCGUGGCGCCGAACUACGCGUUCGGGCCGCUCGAAGAUGACGUCAUCAUCAAACACAGACUUCUCACACGGACCACCACCACCACGAGAGGCGAACCGCCGUUGAAGAAGCUCCAGAAGAAAUUCACUUCCCUGUUCGUUGAGCUCGACAAGAACGAAGACAACUUCACCGACUGCGACAGGCUCGCCAAGGCUUUCCUGCAGGUGCUCAACACGUUCGAGAUUCCGCUCCUAAAGAGCAAAGCCGUCGUGGAUGCAAAUCUCCGGGAGAAGCACAAUUUCGAUGAGCUGAGGGAGGAGAUUAACCGGCAGAUUGUACAGGCGAAGACUGACAUUCAGAUACUGAAGAAGCAGCUCGAAUUUCAAUUUGCUUAUCUCCAUGUCUUGUUCAAUGCCAUUAGUUCCUAGGCACUCAUUGAAAGGGGCUUGAAUUUCAAUUUGGAAAGCUUUCUAUUAUUUGUAGAGCGUGUGCCAUUCAAAUUGUUAAGUAGAUGUCAAGGAUUGCAAGGUAAGUGAAUGUGACCCUUCUAUCACCAACGGGUCCGUUGUAAAUUUAGUCAAAAGGACUCCACGAAGAACACCGGAGCUCCCCGAGCUCCGAUCAACCCCAAAACCUAGACAUAUUAUAUACCAAAUUGAAGCUACGGAGGAGAGGAGUAUAAAUAUACCAAUAUUUGGCCCUGAAGUGGCCGGAAAACGGCUCAAAAGCCGUCGGGCCCUCGCCGGAAAACUGAGUUUCUUGCUUUCUCUGUUCCUGUGCAAAUCCGACGUUUAAAUCGCAAACUCUAGGUUAUAAUUAAACCACCAUGACGAAAAUGAAAGAAUCUUAAGCAUCCCGAGGCUUACCCAGGUCGGAGCACCAUGAAAUCUCACCGGGAAGUAUGGCGAUGGUGGCUGCCAUUGCUGCAGCUGUGCCUCGAGCACAGAGGAGAGAGAGAGAGCGGGACGAGGGGAACGGGGAGGUGCAGGGUAGACAGUUAUGGUUGUUGGUAGCGGUGAAGCUCGCCGGAGGGGCGAGGCGAGGUGGUGCCUCGGGUCGUUGUUGUUGCAGGGGGAUGAGGGAGAGAGACGAGGGAGAGUGUUCCAGAGGGUUCCCGAGAGAAUAGGAAGAUAAUUGACACGGGGAAGGAAGGGAAGUCCCCACGGGCCACAAAAUAAAAUAAUAUAAAAUAUUUAAAAUAUCUAAUUAGAAAACAUUUAAAUAAUAUACAAUAAUAAUAUAAAGAGUAAACUGUCAUUUAACCCCCUAAACUAUCAUGUGAAUUUCAAUUUCCCCCCUGAACAAUUUUUUCAGCCAAUUGACUCCCUAAACUAUGUUAAAGUGGCCAAUUAACCUCCUACCGUUAAGCAUCUUUAACUCCAUCCAAUUUUCUGUUAGAAAGUGUCAUUUGCUUGGCACAUGACCACCUUUUUACAUUUUAUGUCUAAAUCUUUACAAAGAAAACAUAUAAAACAAUAUUAAAAAAACAUCCAAACCCUAAACUUAAUCAUUCAAAAUAAUAGAAAAGGUAAGGCUUUUUAUAUUAACAUCCCACAAAAUGUUGAAUGUACACCAUAUUAAAAUUUAAUAUUAAAUGACUUAUGUACUCCACUAUGCAAUGACAAUUUUGACCUUAUUAGGUUUUUUAAAAAAAAAAUUUAUAAAUACACCCCAAAUCACUUUUAGCGUAUUAUUUAUCUUCUCAACUAUCAAAACCCUCUCAUCCUCCAUUGUUGAACAAAAUCCUAACCAAUGAAACUACAAACAUGUUGAUUGAGAAAAAUUGUUUUUGACGAAUGAAACACGAAAUCGAUGUUUCUGAAGCUUUACAUGAGGUAAGACUUCACAUUUUUCAUUGUUUUAGUGAUGUUGAUGCACAAAAUCAGCGAGGACUUUGGUACAACAGAAAGUGUCAGGUUUGUGACCUUCGCUUGGUUGCUUCGAUCACUAGUGAAGAUAAGUACGUAAAUGAAUAGGGACAGGGAAGCAAACACAAGAUGUACGUGGUUCAUCCAGAUCGGCUACGUCUACGGAGUAGAGGAGUUCUCAUUAAUUGUGAAGGGUUUACACAAAUACAUAGGUUCAAGCUCUCAUUUUAUGAGUUCUAGUGAAUAGUUUGGUACAAAAUGACAUUAGAGAUUAUUGUGGGAGAAUGAUCCCUAUUUAUAGAAGAGAGUUUCUAGUUUUGUUCUAAUAUUGACACGUGUCGUGUUGUGAUUGGCCUCUGAUGUUGACACGUGUCGCGCUGUGAUUGGCUUCUGAUGUCGACACGUGUCGCAUUGUGAUUGACCUCCUGAUUGAAGGGAAACUCUUUUGGGUCCUUGACGGUAUAACGUUGACUGGUGCUCAGUAGUUUCGGGAUUAGUCAAGUAUGGUACAAACAGUGCUCCCCUAAGUUCCCGAGUGAGGGAAACUCCUCGAUUGGGGACUUGCAAGAUCCAAGCCGCUGAGUAAUCACGAAACUUCUAAGUACCGAGGUGUGGUAUCGUCUUCACUUGCCUUAUCUUUCUCUCAUAGGUAGAUGUAUGUGGCAUCUUCUCUGGAAGUACGCUUCCUCCAUCCAGGGGUGGUAUCUUUAACCGAUGAAGAUGCACAAGGUAAUGUAUCAAUUUCACUUGAAGCUUACUUGUAGUUUCGGGCUUGGUCAAGUGCGAUACAAACCCUAUAGUAGGAGUCCCCCAAGUCGCCGAGCUAGGAGAUCUGCCGAAAGAGGUGACAGACAAAGGUAACAGACAAGGUACAGCAGUCAAACUUCCAAGCAAGCAACCCAGGAUCAGAGGUUUGACUUCGGCUUCCGGUUGAUUGUUCUCCUUCUCCUUAUCUCUCAUUCAACUGCCAGGAUAAGGAGAAGCAAAUGGAUAAGAGAUGAUAUGAGAUACUUUUUCUUUUGAAGAAGUAACUUUCCACAGGCUUAUUCUUGAACUGUGCUGGAGGGUUUUCUGGUUCCCUCCAGAGUAUAAGGCCGACUCAAGAAUUUGAGGGUCAAAACAAGUCCAUCAAAUCUAGAGUACGUUCGACCUUGAUGAUAUGGGAUACUUUUGCUGUUGACGGAAUAGUGAAUGUGGUAUGGAAAUGUGUCGUGUAGUGAUCUGUUUCAGCUCAUCAUUGACCCUUCUGCUUCAAUCUUUUGCAUGGUAGAAGUGGUGUGCAACCUUUGCAUUUAAAUGGUCCUUCAGAACAUUCCUUCAUAGUGACUCAUCCACGCUUGGCAACUUUAGUGUAAAGAGCCAAUAUCUGAUCAACUGUCAUGAGGUAUUUGCUGGUGGAAUUCGUGACCUUGACAGCAGUUGAGGAUGAGUACUCGAGAGCAAUGCUAAGUAAGCAACCAGACAAAGGUUCCAGGCAGUCAGUUCCAGAUUUGAGGUUUGAUUUCAGGUUCCGACUGACUGCUCUCUUUCUCCUUGUCCUGCAGGUGUGGACAAUGACAAAGACAAAGACAGGGAGAAAGCAUGAUAUGAGAUACUCUUGCUUUCGACCCUGAUGAUAUGAGAUACUCUUGUUCUUGGUGUGGCUUAUUUUCUUAUUGCUGAGGUAUUAUCGGGGGAAAUAAAGCUGAGUAUUUCGAGAGGUUAUGUUGAGGGUGCCUUCUCGAAUGCGAGAAAUGGUUGAGCAUUUUUGCAGGUGUCUGCUAGUCUGUCUCGUCCGUGUAGGAGGAGGGGUCAGGUCGACAUAUAUAUAGAAAAUUUCUCAAUAGCAAGUGGUAAUGCUAUUCCUUUACCAUUCUCGGUCACAGCAAUGUAGUGGGAGCUGUCAGCUUCACGUGUUUUAACUUUGUCAGAGCAUUUUGAAAAAGAUGUACGUGGUAUCUGGAAAGCUGAUGUUGCGUGUGAAGAUUACAGACAAGCUUUAUCUAAGGAAAUCUGGCUCUCGAAGUUCUGAGAGCUGUGCCUCUUCGAUUUUCGAACAAGCAAUCCCGUCGGGGAUCUGGCUCUCGAGAUUCAGAAAGCGGUGCCACUUCGGCUUUUAAGAGAGUAAUUAUGUUGGGAGUCUUUUCUCGAAUGUGAGUAAAGGUUGGACGUUCUUGCCAGUCUGUCUUGCCACAGAACACGGAGGUCGACACACAUAGGGACUUUCCAGUUGUCAAGCAGUGGUGCUGUUCCUUUACCCUUGUGGGUAAUAGUAGGGUAGCUGGAACUUCGAAAUUCUCGUGCCUAAAUUUUGUCAGAGAUCUUUGGCAAAGUUAUAUAUGGUACCCGAGGAGUUGAUGGUGCGUGUGGAGAGUGGUGAUUGAACAGUAAGAUUCACGUGCUUUCUACUUCACCAGAAAUCUUUGACAGAUUACCCGUAAUUUCCGCAAAGCUGAGUGUGCAUGUGACAGGUGCUAACGAGGCUGAAAAAGCAGGUGCUUCUUCGAUUUCUGAUAUCGGCCCUCGUGGUCUCUAAGCAGCCCAACUUUUGAGAAAGCAAGCGCCUCUUCGAUUUCUGAGAUCGGCCCUCGUGCCCUCUGAGCAGCCCAGCUUUUGAAAAAGCAAACACCUCUUCGAUUUCUGAAGCUCCGUCGAUUGCAGAUAUUUAUAGAGGCUGGCAUUAAGUUCCACAGCACACUUGAAUCUCCACCAGUAGAAGCUCCCUUCUUGCACUUCUAAAAUCUUGAUUUGUCUGACAUCUUCCUUCUUCAACACCCUUGAAAAUGUCUGGCCCCUCCGACCGUCGUUUUGACUUGAACCUUGGAGAAGAGACAGCCACGCCUUCUCCAGACAACAUAUGGCGCCCAUCUUUCAUAUCCCCUACUGGUCCUCUUACUGUUGGGGAUUCUGUGAUGAAGAAUGAUAUGACCGCUGCGGUGGUGGCCAGGAACCUUCUCACUCCCAAAGAUAACAGACUAUUUUCCAAACGAUCUGAUGAGUUGGCUGUUAAGGACUUUCUGGCUCUUGGUGUUCAGUAUGCAGGUUCUGUGUCUAAUAUGGUCCAACGCCUAUUUGCUAGAACCCGCCAAGUUGAAUCAUUGGCUGCUGAAGUGAUGAGUCUCAAACAGGAGAUUAGAGGGCUCAAGCAUGAGAAUAAACAGUUGCACCGGCUCGCCCAUGACUAUGCUACAAACAUGAAGAGGAAGCUUGACCAGAUGAAGGAAUCUGAUGGUAAGGUUUUACUUGAUCAUCGACGGUUUGUGGGUUUGUUCCAAAGGCAUUUAUUGCCUUCGUCUUCUGGGGCUGUACUUGGUAAUGAAGCUUCAAAUGAUGAACCUCCAAUGCCUCCUCCUUCUGGGGUUUUGUCAAGUACUGAGGCUCCGGAUAACCACCCUCCGGUGCUUUCUCUUUCUGGGGCUCUACCGACUGCUGAGACUUCCCCUAAGCAAUCUUUAUGAAGGCUCCCUCUUGUUUGUUUAUUUUGACUCAUGUACAUGUACAUAUUUGUAGCUUAUCGGAAGUAUUAAUAAAUAAGCUUUGCUUGAUUUCAACGUAUUGUGUUAAAUACACCAAAGCCUUCUUCAAAAAGUUCUUUGAAUUUUUUCUUUUGUUGAAACUUGUGUAUUGUUGAAGUUUUGUGAGUGAAGCAUGUAGUUUAAGGUAGUGUUCCCUUAAUUUCCUGAGUGAGGAAAACUUCUCGGUUGGAGACUUGAAAAAUCCAAGUCACUGAGUGGUUGUGAGACUUCCGAGUAUCAAGGUGCAGUAGCAUAUGGUGGGAGUCCCCCAAGUCUUCAGGCGAGGAGAGUUGCCGAAUGAGGUGUCUUGCUUGCUACUAAUUUGUCAAAGUAACGAAGCCUUGUUUUGAUGUCAUACCUUCAUAUAUGCCUUAUCCAAAAAUAUUUCAAGCUAGGUUUAGCUUUGGGAGGGCCCAAAAUUUUUGUGUAGCCCAAAACUGCUCAUUUGUUUUCAAGCCCACGAAAAGAAGGGAUCCAGUGCCUUUGUUCAUUUUUUAUUUGUGUGGCAAGCCCAAAGAGGAGAACAGGUUUGUGCCCACUCCCCUUUAUUUAUUUUUUGUGAAGCCCAAUGCUUUCUUGCUUCAUAUUGGGAGGUAGAGAAAUAAUAACAAUGAGACUCAAAGUCUCAUCCCUUUGCCUGUGUCUUCUUCCCCAUUUCCCUGGACUUUGCUCAAUAUGGCACUGUGCAUUUAUUCCUUUUGUCCGUCACUUUUUGUGGCUUUUAGCUAUUCUUUUGCUUUGCCUUUUCCUUUCUUUGCUGGAAAGGUCUUCAUGUCCCCGUAAAAAUCUGAAUUAUUCCAAAGCCAUGAUGAAGGAAAGUGGGUGUUGGAGCCAAGGAAGUGAAGGAAGGAGUUAACGUAGAGGGCGCGGUAGCUCUGCAAGAUAACACCAUUCUCUGUAGCUCAAAUCGCAAGGUUGUCUUCAUGAAAAUUGUUCCUUAGCUUGUGAACUACAACAUAUCCAAAUUUGAGAGCCAUCGGAGUAGUACAACUCCAGAUAUUCAGGUAUGGUGAGUAAUUGUUCAUCAUUUUUCUGUUAACCCGUCAGACUUAUUGUGAGCUUUGAAACUUCAUUUUCCCUUAUUCAGAUCAACAUACUUUCUUCAUUGAAGUUGUUCCUAACCUUGUGAACAACAACAUAUCCAAAUUUGAGAUUCAUCGGAGUAGUACAACUCCAGAUAUUCAGGUAUGAUGAGUAACUGUGCAUCAUUUUGCUGUUAACCCGUCAGACUUAUUGUAAGCUUCGAAACUUCAUUUUGUCUUGUUCAGAUCAACAUACUUUCUUCAUCAAAGUUGUUCCGCAUCACCUCUUCCAUAACAUAUCAAAAAUUCAGAACAAACUAACGGUUGGAUAUUUCCAGAUCUUCGAAACACCGCAGCAGCGUUGAAGCUUGCAGAAAUCUGACCGUCAUGGUUGGAGCUUCAACACUCUAACUUCCGUCGCUCAAAUGGAAACAUUUCCUUCGUGAAAGUUGUUCAUCUGCUCAAGAACUUCAUUUGCUCAUCUUGUAGUGAUUUUUGAAGACAGAGUGCUUUUUACUUGAGAGGGAUUCUAGCAUUGCUUUGCUGCACCAUCUUCAGGUUGGUAGUCUUCUCCACUACAUUGGAUGUUUUCCUUUUUGUUGAAUUGUUGGAAUGUUCAUGUAUUUUGUGAAGAACAUAAUGAACUGGUUGAGCUGUUCUUCAUGCCCUGUGAGCUUCCUUACGUUUUGAUCCUUCAUGUAGUGAUAGAGUUUGUUUCUGUUUGUUGUAGAUGUCGGAGUCUGGAAGUCUAAGUGAUGAGGGCUCCCCUAGCUCGGGCUUUAGGUUUGAGCCUUUGUUAGAGUCUUGUACAAAAGAAACGUUAGAUGAUCCUCACAAUUGUCAAACCUUAGCCAAUAUUGGUUCUUCCUCCAUGUUAGUGGGUGAGGGGGUUGUUUGUGACGCCAUACCCAUAUGUCGUUCUGAUCCUCACAAUUGUCAAACCUUAGCCGAGAUUGGUUCUUCCUCCAUACGAGUUGGUGAGGGGGUUGUUUGUGAUGCCAUACCCAUAUUUCGCUCUGAGUUCACAGCGGACCAUUUAGAAAAUAACUUGUUAGAUAACGAAAAGCAGCUUGAGGCCCUAAGGCAAUCAUGUAGUAUCCCCCGUAGUGUAGGAAUACGUUUGGUGCGUUGUGAAGAAUUGCCUUCGGAGCCGCCCAAGGGUCAUGUUAUGUUCUAUACCCAGACAUUAGUGACCUUGGGGGUAAAUUUACCUUUGCAUCCGUGGUUGCAACGAAUGCUGUCUUUUAUUGGUUAUGCAUCUGGGCAACUCAACCCUGGUUUAUGGGAUACCUUGAUCGGGUUUUAUAUUAUUUGGAUGGAGUGUGGAUUAGGUGAGCCUUCCUUCCAUCAGUGGCGCUACUGUUAUAAGAUGCGCCCGGUGAAAGCAUGUACUGGUUACGCCAAAUGUGCAUGUCGGAGCGAGAGAGAGCGUGUUGUCUUUAAUAAGAGAAAGGCGUACUGCACAUGGAAGAAACGUUGGUGCUUUCUUUAUAAUGAUUGGGAGCAUGCUAAGGGUGUCACGCCUGAGCGACGUGUUCCUACUCACUUCCAGACUGUAGGUUAUAAUGUAUCCAUUUUCUCAUUAUUUGCUAUUGUUGUGAUUUGCUCUUGCUUCUAAGAUUUUUCUUCAUGCAGUGACACGAGGCACCAUCAAACUCUCCGGACAGGAGCUAGCUGAUGUAGAGAAAGUGUUGAGGGUGCCCAAAGAAGAUAGACACUUGGGUAAGCUACGACCCUUGUUUCGAAAGUACGGUUUCCAGCCCUUAGUUUCCGAGUGCCAGAGACGAGCGAGUAAGUUGUAUCCUUCACUUGAUCCUUGUUCUUCCCUUUUUUUUUUUAUAUAGAUAUAUAAUGUGGUAUUUCUUACUUUGAUUUUCCUUGUUCAGUGGAGAAGGUGGGCAAGAAAGUGGAGACUAGCACCAAGAAAAGGAGAGUGCCCAUGUUAGUUCCUUCAGAAGACAUCAUGUUUCACAAGGAAGCUCGCAAGCAUCGAUUGAGACCAAUCAUUAAAACUAAGUCUUGAGAAGAAGUCCUCAAGGUUUCUGCCUCGAAGAAAGCUGAAGUUGAGGCCAUUGGAUGUGCUGCUGCCAUAGUUGCCGGGGAAGAUAGGCGAUUGCUGUCUCUUCUUCCUACUAUUAAUCCCAUCUUUCCUCCAGUUAGGGAGCAUAUUGGGCAGGAAGGUGAUCCUAGUUCUAGCAGCAAGGGUAAAGAUAAGGAAGAGGUUGGCAGUGUCCCUUGGAAGGAUUUGAAGGUUGCCAUGCGGCCAAAGGACUUUGGGUAUAUCAACAAUUGCCUAGCAGGGCGUCGAUUCACUUUCGAUGAGCUCGGAGAGCCCUUAGCUAAAGAUGAAUCGAAUUGCGACCGGAUGUUGAAGCUGUCUUCAUAUGUGAGUGUUACUUUGUCAUUUCCUUGUUUUCUUCUCUUUAUUAGCAUUAUUUUAGUAGUGAUGAUCGUCUUGUCAUGCAGGUCAUGGCUGAGUAUCACGACAAACUGCGAGAGGCUGAACGGUGCAAGGUGAAAUUGAAAGAGAAUAAACAGCUCGUGAAUGAUGCCAGGAAGACGAGUAAAGCUUUGGCUGAGGCCAUCCAAGUCAAGGAUCAACAUUUUGAGAGUUUGAAGAGGCGGAAUGGUGAGAACUUGAGACUCAAGGUACAGUUGGAGGCGACUAAGAAACAGUUGGAGACAACUAUGCUCGAGGUUUCCAAGGUUAAAGGGGAGUUGGAUAGUGCCUUGGUUGAGGUUUCUGAGCUGAAAAGUAGGAUCCCGACUGAGAAGGAAGCUGCUGUGAAGGAGUUCUUGGGUUCCCAGGCCUUUCUCCAUGUCCUUAGACCUCGCUGUACCCGGGAAGUUCAUUUUGAAAAAGAAAGUGGAUGGCUGUCCUUGAUCGUUAUGAUGAUGGAAACGUUUUUCGAAAAUACCGUGAAGAAAUAGAUGAACAUCAUCGAAAAGGUGAAACCUUCGACCUUGCAGUUUAUUAUAGCAGUGCAGAUGAGUUUGGCGAUGAGGCUAGUGCUGAUGAGCAGAGUCAUCAGGGUGAUGAUGAGUUUGGAGAUGCAGAAAAUGACGGUAGGACUCAGAGUGAUAUGAUCAGGGGUUCAACCUCAGAUGAGUAUGACUAGACGUGCUUUCACUUUCUGCAUGUACUCUACCUGCACUAGUUUGUUGUUUGUAUGGCAUGUGCCAUGUUAUAAGCUUGAGGGUUUUUUUUUUGUUUUUUGUUUUUUGUUUCGUAUGUUUAUGAGUGUUUGCAUUAUCAAGCUUCAAGUGUUUGUAUUAUCAAGUUUCAAGUGUUUGCCCUAUCAUUGAUGAAUGUUUGGCUAUGUUUGCAUAGAUCCUUUAUAUAGUCUUGUUGACAUAUACUUAGAUUUUAUUUUGUAUUGGAAACAUGUGCGUUGAAGCUUCAACACUUGAGUGUUUCAUUGCUCAGAAUGUAAAAGAGUUUAGGGCCGAGUUGGCUAAAUCACCUCUUUAUUGAAUUCAUACCAAAUGGUCUUUGUUACAUAGGAUGCCGAACGACUGUAGCUUAACACUUGUACAAUGUGAGUCUAUUUGUAAUAGUACUUCAAGUGGUCAGCAUUCCAUGGAUGGCCAAGGGUUUUUCCGUCAGAGCUUCUGAGCUUGUAGGAGCCAGGGCGGCUGAUGCCGACGACCUCGAACGGUCCGUCCUAGUUAGGACUGAGUGUUCCUUCACUCGGGACUCUAUCACAGAGUAAUCUUUUCUUCAGUACCCAGUCUCCCGCUUUGAAAGAGCGAUGUUUGACCCUUGAGUCGUAGUAGUUGGAGAUGCGCUGCUUGUAGGCGACAUUCCUCAGGUGAGCCUGAUUUCUGUGUUCCUCGACUAGAUACAGGUUGAGGGUGAGUUGCUUGUCGUUCUCACUCUGUAUGUAGUUCUGGAUUCGGUAUGUUGCUUGCUCAAGCUCAACUAGAACAACUACUUCUGUACCAAAAGCAAGUGAGAAUGGAGUUUCUCCUGUGGAAGUCCGAUAUGAAGUGCGGUAUGACCAAAGAACUUGGGGUACGAAUUCUGGCCAACAACCUUUAGCUUUGUCCAAGCUAGUUUUCAGAGUGCGCUUGAUUAUUUUGUUAACGGCCUCGACUUGUCUGUUAGACUGGGGAUGGGCUGGAGAGGCAAAACAUAAGUUGAUGUUGAACUUAGAGCAGAACAUCUUCAACUUCUUGUUGUCGAACUGCCGCCCAUUGUCCGUGCCUAUCGCAUUGGGAAUGCCGAAUCUGCAGAAGAUGUUCUUCCAUACGAAGUCUUCUAUUUUUCCCUCAGUAAUGGUUGCCAAGGGUUCUACUUCAGCCCACUUUGUGAAGUAGUCAACUGCAACGAUUGCAUAGCGGACCUUGCCUUUCCCUGCAGGCAUUGGGCCGAUCAAAUCAAGUCCCCAUUGGGCGAAGGGCCAAGGGCUGAUCAUAGGAGUGAGCAGCUCGGGAGGGGAGUGAGGGAUAGUUGCGUAGCGUUGACACUUAUCACAUGAGCGAGAUAUUCUGAUGGCAUCUUGGUGGAGUGUUGGCCAAUAGUAUCCUUGGCGAAAAGUCUUGUGUGCUAGGGAUCGAGACCCAGCAUGAUCUCCGCAGACUCCUUCAUGUAUUUCCCGAAGGACAAUUUCUGCCUCCGCAGGUGUAAGGCAUCUUAGGUAUGGCAGGGUGAAACCGCGCUUGUAGAGUUGGUCAUUAAUGAUCAGGUAGCGGGCAGACUUGUAUCGAAUCUGCUUAGCUUGGACUUUGUCAAUUGGGAGGGUGCUAUGAGCAAGGAAUUUAUAAAUUGGGGUGAUCCAACUAUCUUCUUGUUGUAAAUUGCACACCUCCGCGACCAUGGUGCUUGGUUCUGCCAACAAUUCGACAUGAAUUUUUCUCCCAAUCUUGUCUUCCACUGCCGAGGCGAGGCGAGCCAAAGCGUCUGCAUGACUGUUUGCCGCUCGAGGAACUUGGGUGAUCUGGGGUGUUUAUUCCUUACUUUUGCAGUGUCCUCAUAUGCAUUCCUUUUGCUUUCCUCUUUUCUGUUUUCUGAAAUAUUCUCCCAACGACAUGAUCUUUUUCCUUUUCUGUUCCUUUCUUUGAUCUCUCCACCGCCAGACACACUCGCUUUUGCUUUUACUUUCCCUUUUCUUUCUCUUUUCCUUUUGCUUUGUCCGCCACUACCUUUCUCUUUCGGCCUGGUUUCUGCUGGGACCUUGUCCCCAUCUCAAUUCCAACCACAGCAGACCACUGGAAUCUUAGAUUGGACGAAGUAGAAGGGCAGGGUCGAUCUUCACAGAAAAACGACAUCGUUCGGCCGCGCCGAACAGAGGAGACGGGCCAUGAGAUUAACGGAGGCAAGAUUUGGGGAGAAUAAGAGAAUAAGCAGAUAAAGGGAGAUGAAGUGUGGGUUGCAGAGAGGUGGAUGUUCUUCAAGAAAAACUAGGCUGCCACAGCAUCAUUUGUCCCUUGGAACCAUAUAAUGGGUUGCUUCCAUUCUAUGCAGUUGCUACAAAGAACAUUGGUCUGUGCCGGCUUCUUAAAGUCAUCACUUCUCAUAACCAGUUGCCUUCCAUUCUUGUUUGCACAUUUAUUAAGUCUCCAAAGAUGCUUAAUUUCUCUGAUGGUGAAGGAAAAAAUUGGAAUAGGAAGUUGCCUUCCUACAAAUCUGUGCUGACAAAACUGUUCCGGUGGAAGAUUUCUUACCCUGGAAGCACCAUUCAAGUCAAAGUGAUGCUGAAUAAACUUCCUGACUCUGAGACUCUCAUCCCAAAACCCUCCUCCUUCGAACUUCUUUCCCAUCUCCUCCACCGUCGCGCACGAGCUCGAAUUUCGCUUACUCUUGCUCUGCGGCUCCGUCUCCAGCUCAAAUCCGUCGCCGUUUUCAGACUUUGAAUCCAAAUUUCCAAUCUGCAUAUAGAAAUCGGGGCUCGUCGGAGGAUCGACUUGUCGUAAGUUGAGCAUCAACAGCCCCGUUCCAGCACACAACGCACAGACUAUCAGAAUUGAUCCGACGGACACCUGCCUCCUUCGCCAAACGCCAUAGCUCAUCUUUUCCUCUAUCUUUUUUCGUUUUGCAUGUGUGUCGGUGAAUGGAUAUGGAUCUGGAAGCCACAAAUCGCUCGCUUCGUUGUCGUCCAGCUCAACUGGAAGCCACAAAUCGCUCUCUUGGUUGUGCGAUUCCUGCAGGUGCAGCCCUCUAGUUUCUGCUUCUGCGGCUGCUGCUUAUCUCCUUGGAAGGAGUGAGACUCAGUGAGUCAAGUUUUUGGGUUUUUACGGGAUGGGGGUGUGAAAUUGAGUUUGAAGACUGCAGCUGCUGGGAUGGUGGAAGAGAUGCCGCGUGAGCAGAGAGGGAGAGUCUGGGUGAAAAUCUUUCGCCACAGUAGCAACACCCAUCCAUCCCGAGGCCACGAAGCAGCAUGUAAGUUUCCUGUAUGAGAUUGAAAACCACAGCGGACCGGAGUGCUUUCAAUGUUGUCAGUAACUUCAAAUUGUUCCGGGACUGGUUGCGGUGGUUGAAACUGUGUUUGGCGAGCGAUUUGGAAUGCGGUGACCUUUCAUGGCGGCAGAGAUGGAGAUGGAUCGUCCGUUUGUGUAGAAAUCAAGGACGCUGCCGCCGCCUUCUCCGCCGUUGAGGCCUCCUGAUUGCACUUUUUUUUUCUGGGUUUCAUGGCGAGCUCAAGAAGAUAGGCCUCGCAUGCAAAGACCAGGUUGAGCACUCCCUCGGACUUCAAGAUCUCGUUUUUUAGCUUCGAGAUCUCAUAGUCGGUGAAGGACUUGUGGAAGUGAACGGUCUUAGACAUAACAUUGGCGACCUCGAAGGAAAGAAUGCUGACGGUUUGUUUCUGAGUUUUGGCGGCAGCGGGUUGGGAUUUGGGGACUGAUGAUUUCUUCGAAGGAUGAAGAAUAAGAGUUUGCUUGAGAUUGAAGCUUACCUCGCUACCCAUCUUCAAGAUCUAAGACUCUGCAACCAUUGCUGCAAAGAUCCGAAGCUCAAAGCAACUGGGUCGGGCCACAACUCCGAGAGAAACCCGCUUUCAUGCGUGAAAUCUGGGUACCCUUUUGAGCUUGCGGGCUAUGACGGUGAUUGCAAGGUUCAUGGCUUUCUUUGAUACUCACCAGCUAAAAACCCAAAAAUGAAUUAUCAUCCAUUUUUUUCUUUGACUCUGAUUCUCUGAAACAUUAUUGCAUAUACUGGGUCAAGGUUGAUGACUCAAAUGAUAGUGACCCAGUUGAAGAACAUUAGAAAAACUGCAGAAAAAGGAAGAAAACUGAAAGCAAAAGCAAAAAACAGGUGUCCGAGUAGGACUCAGAGUUGAUGGAAUAAAAGGAGGACGCGGUUUUUUACGGGCGUGAGACUGUGUGUGUGUUCUGGGUUUGGCUUUGGAUCUUGGGUUUUUUUGCAGAUUCACGGUGGUGGUGAAAAAUGAAAGAGAACCGACACAACUUUUGUAUCGAUUCCCACAGACAGCGCCAAAUGUUGAUGCACAAAAUCAGCGAGGACUUUGGUACAACAGAAAGUGUCAGGUUUGUGACCUUCGCUUGGUUGCUUCGAUCACUAGUGAAGAUAAGUACGUAAAUGAAUAGGGACAGGGAAGCAAACACAAGAUGUACGUGGUUCACCCAGAUCGGCUACGUCCACGGAGUAGAGAAGUUCUCAUUAAUUGUGAAGGGUUUACACAAAUACAUAGGUUCAAGCUCUCAUUUUGUGAGUUCUAGUGAAUAGUUUGGUACAAAAUGACAUUAGAGAUUAUUGUGGGAGAAUGAUCCCUAUUUAUAGAAGAGAGUUUCUAGUUUUGUUCUAAUAUUGACACGUGUCGUGUUGUGAUUGGCCUCUGAUGUUGACACGUGUCGCGCUAUGAUUGGCUUCUGAUGUCGACACGUGUCGCAUUGUGAUUGGCCUCCUGGUUGAAGGGAAACUCUUCUGGGUCCUUGACGGUAUAACGUUGACUGGUGCUCAGUAGUUUCGGGAUUAGUCAAGUAUGGUACAAACAAGUGAUUUCGAAUACAUCGAUAAUUAUUUAAUCUUGCGUUUGCUGCAUUAUUUUUCAAUAUGAACCCUAAAAGAUGAAUAUGAAUAUAUAAGUUUAAAUAAUGCAGCAAACGCAAGAUUAAAUAAUUAUCGAUGUCAUCGAAAUCACUACAACAAUGAAAAAUGUGAAGUCUUACCUUAUGUGAAGCUUCAAAAACAUCGAUUUCGUGUUUCAUUCGUCAAAAACAAUUUUUCUCAAUCAACAUGUUUGUAGUUUCAUUGAUUAGAGUUUUGUUCAACAAUGGAGGAUGAGAGGGUUUUGAUAGUUGAGAAGAUAAAGAAUACGCUAAAAGUGAUUUGGGGUGUAUUUAUAAUUUUUUUUAAAAACCUAAUAUGGUCAAAAUUGUCAUUGCAUAGUGGAGUAAAUAAGUCAUUUAAUAUUAAAUUUUAAUAUGGGGUGCAUUCAACAUUUUAUGGGGUGUUAAUAUAAAAAGCCUUACCUUUUCUAUUAUUUUGAAUGAUUAAGUUUAGGGUUUGUAUGUUUUUUUUUUUUUAAUAUUUGUUUUAUAUGUUUUCUUUGUAAAGAUUUAGACAUAAAAUGUAAAAAGGUGGUCAUGUGCCAAUCACAUGACACUUUCUAACAGAAAAUUGGAUGGAGUUAAAGAUACUUAACGGUAGGGGGUUAAUUGGCCACUUUAACAUAGUUUAGGGGGUCAAUUGGCUGAAAAAAUAGUUCAGGGGGGAAAUUGAAACUCACGUGAUAGUUUAGGGGGUUAAAUGACAGUUUACUCUAAUAUAAAAUCAUAUAAAAUAAUUAAAAUAGUAAUUUCUAAGAAAAACAUCUUUCGGAUUCGUAAACCCGUAAAGUUAAUCCCUCAAAUUUUACUCAAUUAUAUCAAUAGUCUUCUAGUACGACUCAUCUUGACGAGAUUUUGACGAAGUUGAUAAAAAAGAUUAUAACUAACGUUUUGAUGAGUUAAGGGAUCGAUGAUCAUAAAUUUUUAGUUGAUGAAUCGUUACUCUAAUUAGACUAAAGUUGAUAUCACAUUCCUACAAUUUUAUCACUGUCUCAAAAGAUGUAUGAGAUUGUAAUUUCAAGCAAAACUAAGGGGUAAAACAAUAUACCCAUAAGCUAAAGAAGAAAAAGUAAUUGGCUUGCUUUGAUGCGUUGAUCUGUCCAAAGUGACUUAACAAAGUUGAAAAAUCCCUAUUUCUCACCUCUUUCUGUUGGAACCGGAUACCCUAAGCAUGGGACCAGAGCCAGUUGAGCAGCCCAUCUGGACCCUUAAAAUUUGAUCCAACAAUUAUAAAUAGAAAGCUUUUCUAAAAGUUAAAAUAAUUACAACCGUUAGAUCAAAUUUUAAAAGUCCAGAUGAGCUGCUCAGCAAGCUUCAGUCCUUAUGCUCAUGAGGGGAUCCGAUUCCUUUCUGUUUCACCUAAACCGCCCAAACCACAUAUAAAUUAAAGAAGAAAAAAAUAAUUGGCAGCUGUGCUUUGACGUAGAGAAUGCUUUGAAUGAUGAUAUAUUCUUCUCUAUAAGAGGAACUUAUAGGUGUACAACCCUAACAUAAAAGGAAAGAAAACUAAUUACAAGUGAUUACAUGGGAUUACAUAUUAAUUAGGGAUCUUACCUAAGAUACAAAAGUCAACACUCCCCCUCAAAUUGGUGCAUAUAUGUCGCUCAUGCCCAACUUGUGUAAGAAACUUGAAAACUUGUGACUCGAAACAGCUUUUGUGAGGAUAUCUGCCAACUGAUCUUCUGUUCUUAUCGCCGGUACUUCAAUUAUUUUCCCUUCCAAUUUUUCUUUGAUGAAGAACCGAUCAACUUCAACAUACUUUGUUCUAUCAUGUUGUACCGGAUUACGUGCAAUGUCACGAGCAGCUUUAUUAUCACAAAAUAAUUUCAUGGACUGAUCAUGUUGUAUACCCAAAUCACUUAACAGAAGCUUAAGCCACAAAAUUUCACAAAUCCCCAAAGCCAUACCUCUGUAUUAUGCUUCUGCACUGGAACGGGCAACCACAUUCUGUUUCUUACUUCUCCAUGUAACCAAGUUACCCCCAACAAACGUAAAGUAACCUGAUGUUGAGCGUCUAUCAUCAAUGGAACCUGCCAAGUCUGCAUCAGUAUAACCUUCAACACUAAAGUGAUUAUUCUUCUUAAACAAAAUUCCUUUGCCCGGACUUCCCUUCAAAUAUCGCAGUAUUCUCGUCACGACAUUCAUAUGUUGUUAUCAGAGAUCAUGCAUGUAUUGACUCACUACACUCAAGGCAUAAGCAAGGUCUGGUCUUGUGUGUGCCAAAUACAUCAAACGACCUACUAACCUUUGGUAUCUUCCUUUGUCAAUUGGUACUUGAUUAGGAUCAACACUAAGCUUCAAUCCUUCUUUUAAUGGUGUAGCUACUGGCUGACAAGCUGACAUGCCAGUUUCGUGCAACAAAUCAAUAAUAUACUUCCUCUGAGACAAGAAAAUUCCAGAACUGCUUCUCGACACCUCGAUCCCUAAAAAAUAUUUCAAGGAUCCAAGGUCCUUCAUUUCAAAUUCUGUAGACAGGUAUCUUUGCAAGCCCGCACGUUCUUCCGGAUCAUUACCUGUUACCAUCAUAUCGUCUACAUACACAAUAAGUGCAGUAAGCUUCCCAUUCUGUCUUUUCAGGAACAAAGUAUGAUCAGAGUUACUUUGUCUGUAACCAAAUGCUCUCAUAGAUUUUGUGAAUCUUCUGAACCAUGCUCGAGGGGACUGCUUCAAGUCAUACAAGGAUUUCUUCAACCUGCACACUUUGCUUUUGUAUUUAUCUGGAGCAUUACAUCCCGGUGGAAGAUCCAUAUAAAUCUCUUCUGUCAAGUCUCCAUGCAAAAAGGCGUUCUUCACAUCAAACUGUUGUAAGGGCCAAUUAAGAUUUGCAGCCAAGGACAACAAAACAUGAAUUGUGUUUAUCUUGGCUACAAGUGCAAAUGUAUCUGUGUAAUCGAUUCCAUAUUUUUGAGUGUAUCCUUUUGCUACCAAUCUUGCCUUGAAAUGAUCCACCAUCCCAUCUGCUUUGUAUUUCACAGCAUAGACCCAUUUGCAUCCCACAUGUUUCUUGCCAGCUGGCAAAUCUGUGAUCUCCCAGGUAGCAUUCUUCUUCAAAGACUUCAACUCUUCAUUCAUUGCUACUUGCCAACGUGGAUCAGUUAAAGCCUCAUGCACACUGUUAGGAAUAGAUACAGUAGAUAAUUGAUGUACAAAUGACUUAUUUAAUUCUGACAGGUGACUGGUAGCCACAUAAUUACUUAACGGGUAUAACACAUUAGACUCAGGGUUGGGCUUACUCACCGGAUACCUAGUUUUACAUUUAAGGACGGCUUCAUAAGUAAGUUUAGGAAUACCUUGGUUGACAUGAUCAGGGAGACGACGUGGUGGUGGUGCAUCCAGGAUCGAAGAUGAUUGAUUAUGGUUAUUGGGACUCAAGAUCGACUGUGAGGUAACUGGCGACACGGAGCUGUCCGGUGGUGAGGAAACUGGCAGUGAGUUAUCUGGCGAUGUUGACUCGUCCCUUUCAAGAUUUUCAACAUUGUUUCCAUGUGAAUGAUCACCACUUGUCUCCAAGACAUUACCACUUAAUUCCAAUUCAUUCACAUCAUUAUUUUCAUGUGAAUGAUCACCACUUAUUUCCAAGACAUCACCACUUAAAUCCAAAUCAUUCACUCUAUCUAUAUCUGGAAUAGUAUAAUCAAGAGUUUGAACUUCUUUCUGAUUCUCCCCCUGAAGUGAAGACUCGGGAUUGGCAAAGUACAUAUCAUUCUCAUGAAACGCAACAUCCAUAGUGACAAACAACUUAUUCGUCGGUGGUUGAUAACAACGGUAUCCUUUCUGCCUGGAUGCAUACCCCACAAACACACAUCGUAAGGCUCGAGGUUCAAGCUUACUUCGAUGUUGUUUAUGAAGAUGAACGAAGGCCACACAACCAAACACAUGAGGUGGAAGAUUAGGGACUGCAGGAGCAUCAACAUGUGAAGAAAGUGCCUGAAGGGGUGUUUGAAAAUCAAUCGAUCGGGAUGAAACACGAUUAAUGAGAUACGCAGCUGAGGUGAGAGUUUCUCCCCAAUAGGAUAACGGGAGACGAGCCUCGAGUAAAGAGGCACGAACAACCUCCAGAAGCUGACGGUUCUUGCGUUCGGCAACCCCAUUUUAUUGUGGAGUAUAUGGACAUGUAGUUUGAUGAACAAUCCCAUGAUGAUCAAGAAAGGCACGAAGUUCAGAGUUAACAUAUUCGCCACCAUUAUCACUCUUGAGAACCUGUAUUUGUGACUUAUAUUGUACUUGUACCAUUUUGUAAAACUGUUGAAACAAAGAAGUAACUUCACCUUUGGAUUUCAUCAAACAAACCUAAGUUAUACGUGUGCAGUCAUCAAUAAAAGUAACGAACCAAUGAGCACCACCAAAUGUAAUAGUUUUACAUGGACCCCAAACAUCAGAAUGAAUUAUCAUAAAUGGAAUAGAACUUUUAUUCAAACUGGAUGGAAACGAAGCACGAUGACUUUUAGCUAGAUCACAAACACCACAAUUAAAGCUAGAAACAUCAUGCUUAACAAAUAGGCUAGGAAACAACCUCCGUAGAUAGCUGAAAGAAGCAUGUCCAAGUCGACGAUGCCACAACCAAACCUCCGAAGCUUUAUUCCUAUCCCCCGGAUUUCCGUCCACUACAAGAGCUUGAGUCAACAUUCGAGAACUGUUUGAUGUCAGCUCCAAGUAGUAAAGCUUCCUUUUCCUAAUACCAUAACCAAUCGUCUUGCGAGUCCGAAUGUCCUUAAAAACACAAAAAAGGCCAAAAAAUCACAAGACAAUGCAGAACGACAGUUAUUUGAGCAACAGAUAAUAAAUUAUAGUCGAGAGAAGGCACAACAAGUACGGUAUCAAGACUAAGGGUAUCUGAAAGGGAGACGGUUCCUUCCCCGAUAACAGGGGCAGGAUUACCAUUGGCGACACUGACGACAGUUUUGGUGGAUGGUUUUAGGGUUUCUACCUGUCUAGAAUCACAAGUCAUAUGUUCAGUAGCACCAGAAUCAAUUAUCCAUGUAUUAUUCAUAACAAAGGUAGAAACCUUUAAAACUUUACCAUUGUUACCUGUAUUAGCAGAAUCACAAGUCCAGACUGUCAUUCCCAAGCAACUUCAAUCAAUACGUCACUCGAUGAUUGAUAAAGCCCAAAUUUCCAAGCAAACCAAGCCCAAGAAGUGCCAAUUUUCAACAAGAAUGAUAGCCCAACAACAAUUACAAAUAAUAAUAAUCUAAAAAAAAAACCACAAUUUUUUCUUUGCCGUGUGGGCCUUAAUCAAAUAGCCCAAUUUUUCUUUUUUUUCAACACUACCAAUUCUGAUUCCCCUUUUCCUUCUUCCCUUUUCUAUUUGUUCUUUUUUUUUUCCUUUAUUCUCUCCCUCCUUUCUACGUGGUCUGCUCUAGAAAGAACCUGCAAAACACGAGUGCAGAAACAAGGUGCAACUGUGCGAGUGCAAGAACAAGGUCCAGAUGCAAACGGGUUAGACUGCAGCAACGUAGGGCAACAGCGGCUACAAAUCUGGGUGCAGAUGUGGAUGCAAGCGGGUUCGAUCGAGGUCUGGUUUAUGGUGUAGCGGGUUUGCGGGUCAGAAACAGUGGUUGUGCGGUGGUAGUCUGUGCAGCAAUGCAACAAGAAUGUGAUGAGCAGCGGGCAUGCAAUCCUGGGUCAGUCGGACCUUGAGUCGGGUACGGCGCAGCAACACAAGUCCGUUGGGUUGCAAUCUGUGCAAUCCUUCACGACUUCAUAUCAAAUCAGAAAGUGAAACGAUUCGAUAAAUUCGGGUCAGCAACGAUGGCGUCGCUCGCUGUUCGAGGUCGGCGCACCACACACGACUGAGCGGCAACAGUGCUAUCGCAACUAUAGGGUUUUUUUUUUCUUUUUUUCAACUUGGCUCUGAUGCCAAGAAGAGAAUGCUUUGAAUGAUGAUAUAUUCUUCUCUGUAAGAGGAACUUAAAGGUGUACAACCCUAACAUAAAAGGAAAGAAAACUAAUUACAAGUGAUUACAUGGGAUUACAUAUCAAUUAGGGAUCCUACCUAAAAUACAAAAGUCAACAGAAUCUUUGUCCAAGACUAACAAAAGUUAAAAAUUAGCCUAUUUCUCUCCCAUUUCACUUUCACCUAAUACACGUAAACCAACUAGAAAUUUCCUCCUCUCACACGAAGCUAGCCUCUCUCUACCUCCCUUUUUAUGUUGAUUGGCUUGGAGUUUUUUCUAAUGCUAUUUGAUCAUGGGGAACCCAAAAUCAUCCCUAGACAAGUUUUCUGGUCAUUCUGGGAAAUGUCUAGUUUUGCUUUUCUGAGGCUUUUGAAAGGAUGUUUGGUUGCAAAGAAUAAUGUUCAAUUUUGUGUUUGUGAGUUUGCAUGGGAUAAUGUAACAUAUAUAAUAUAGAUUCAAAAGAAGACUUUCUUUGCCACAUGUUGAACAUAAUAUAUUAGUAAACGACAGUGAGUUGUAGAAACUGGAAAAUUUAAUAUUAAUAGCAGCAAUAGCAUUUAGCAAGUAUUGUUCUUUAUUAUAAGAAUAAUAACACAAGUUGCAUAUGAGUUGAAUCGACAUAACCUAAUUCCAAAUAUAUUGUACAUCCACUUGGAUAAGUUUCCCAAGAACCCUACUCUAUCCCAAAAGUUAUUUCACCAGAGACCUUUCACUAUUGAUUUCUCCCAACCGUGCCCACAGGAAAGGCCAAAUGCUCUAGCCAUCUUUUUGGGUGCUUCCCUGAUGCCUGCGUUCUCCCUCGACUAGCAUACCACAAUGCAAGCAUUUCCUUGCAUUAAAAAAAAAGAACUUUAAUGAGAAGCUCCCGGUACUGUUUACUUUAACGAAAAACCACAUUUUUACACUAAAAAGUCAAUCCUGGUACUAUUCACUUUACCCUUUAUUUUGUCCUUAUCGUUAAAACUCAAAGUUUUCAAGCUCUUUUCAUUAGUUUUCCUUUAAAAAAAACGCCAAUGACAUCAAUCACCUUUCAUCCACUAGCUUCUCUAGUCAAAUGCUCCCAAAGUCAAAAAAGCAAGUCUACUCUUGCUUUUCUUUUGUAACACUUCAUAUGGUCUGCAUCUUUCAAUGCAUCCCACCGAAAGGUGACCUCUCCACUGACAGCGACCAUACUGUUCAAUUGUUGCCAGCUCAGUAUUAUAUGAACCAAUCACAAUGUACAUAUCGAGAAAGGAUGGAUCCUCUUUGUGAGUAUUUCAGGAAGAACCUUCAAUUACAUUCGUUCAUCGUGUAUCGUAUGAUCAUUUUUUAUUAAGUACUGUUUAUAUUCAAUUUUAAAUAAAAAAAUUAUAAUGAUUUUUAACCACACGAUAUAUAAUGAAUGGAUGUGAUUAGAGAAUCUCCGGAAUUUUCACAACCGGAUAAUACAACGACACAACAAAUCUUAAAAAAAAAAAGAUAUGGCAAUUAAAAUGUAAUAAUAUUAAAUAUAUAAAAAAAUAAUAAUGCAAAUUCAUAAUAUAACAAAGAAGGUUUGGUUCUAGUUUGUGAGGUCUUUGAGGAACUGUCGUCAGUUCAAUAAAUUUAACAAAGUGUGCACUAUUGGUUUCUGCCAAUAAUUUUUAUAAAUUUCUUUUGUUAAGCUGAUGAUAUGGCAUACAAGUAGAUCUCACGUAUCAAUUCUAAAUGUUUGUUGAGGACCAAAUCUAAAUUAGGGUCAAAGUUUAGGGACUAAUUCUAAUUGUGCAUUCUAUGUUAUUUUACAUACAAUUGACGAAAAUCUCACGGAAAGUCCAAUAGUGCACAUUUGCUAAAUUCUAAGACCUCAAUUAAUGAACUUUUUGUUUAGGGACUUAAUCUAAAUUUGAGUGAAAAUUUAAGUACCACUUCUAAAUCUAAGAUAAAUGGAUAUACAAAUUAAUGUCAACUGAGGUUGUCAAUGUCAAAUUUUAUUUUAAUUUAUACCUCAUUUUCUUUGUGACACCUUGUCCUGAAAUAUUUUAUCGAUGGUGUGAAAUGACUUUAUUACCCUUGGACGUUAGAUGUUGUGUGACAUGCACUUUGGUUGUGGACUAAAUAUGUUAAGUUCUAAUUGUUUGGACCCAAUUAGAACUAAGUUUUUCUUUGUUUUUGGUUGGUAGCCCAAGUUGGACCUGACACACACACCCAUACCAAUCUCGUUGACUAUCUCUCUCCUCUUUCAGAUUUUCUUCCAUUUUCCGUACAACCCGUACGGUCAUCAUCCAACCAACUCCAUCUCUCACAGAUCAAGUUCGUGGAGAUCAUUUUUGAGUUCCUUGCAAGCUCAGGAGUAGAGCUAUACCAUUUGUUUGGAGGAAGAACCUCAAAAACCCGAGAAACCAGGAAACCCCCGAAAAGGUGCACAGUAGCUCAGUCAUGAUCACAAAGAAUUCAUUGAUUUUUAAGGUCCUAGGGAGCCUUAGAACUUGUUGACGAAGCUUAAGGAAGGAUUUUGAAGUAUUUUGGACGUUUGGAAGCUCGGGUUUGACAAGUUGCAGAGGUGGCCGGAUUAUCGUGACUUUUUCGGCAAGAUCCCGUGAGUUUUAGGACCUAAAACUGGUAAGAUUUUGUUCCUCUUAUCAUAAGCUUCAUUUUGGUAUAAAAUUUGUGAAUUUUGGUUAAGAAUUAAAGAAGAUAUGACGAUUAGAACUUUUUCCCAGUUUCCGGCGAUGGCGACGGAAUUUGGUGACUUGCCGAAGAAAAAGGCGAAUAUUCCGUCAAAGUUGACAGAAUAUUCUAACGGCGUUAGGUAUCUUUAACAGCAUAUUCUAUAUUUUAACGGAAUAUUCCCUAACAACGUUAACUAUUCCGUUUGGUGUGCCAGGCACGUGCCUGCAUGUGGCCGCGCGUGUGGUUGUGCCUUGGCCGGCGCGUGACGACACGUGGGUAAUCGGAAAAUUUUUCUAAAAAUAUGGGGAUGUUCAUGGGGUUGAGUAGAUCACGUUGGUAUAUUCAAACACUCCAAUUGAGCAAUGUAUGAGAAGUUAUUACCUAGUUUUGUUUAUGUGCUUUAAAAUAACGUUUAUAUAGUUGUUUCGCAUAUAGGUGAGACCUAUCCAGAGGAAGAGCGCAGUCAAGCGAGACUCGAGGGUUAUGACCCUUCCACAUAUCAGUGAGUGGGUUUUUGGUUUUCAGUAUAUACUUAUAUACUUGGUAUUUUUCCCAGAAAAUGUGUUUAAAUGAAAUUAUGUUUAAAAUGCCAUGCCUAUUGAUUUAUACUUAGACUAUGAAUUUGUAUUUUCCCAGAAAAUGUGUUUAAAUGAAAUUAUGUUUAAAAUGCCAUGCCUAUUGAUUUAUACUUAGACUAUGAAUUUGUAUGGUAUGUACAUAUGUGAUUUGACGCGGUGGAUGCUCAGGUAAAUACCAGGUGAGUUGUAGAUUUUUAUUGUGAAUUGAUGAUUAUAUGAGAUGUGUUGAGAGCUCAUAAACUUGCACCCCGGUGUUAGUGCUCCCGCCCGUGGUUAGGGCACAGUCCUUCAUGUGAUGUUCACCUCCCGCACCAUACGCUCACCUUGGAUCCAAGUUAGGUGCACAGUCCUGUUGUACAGACCACUAUAAGUGGUUCCGACUCGUAGGUGACCCACGAUUAUUCGCACAGUCUUCACGUGAUUGUAGCACUAGAGCGUAUUUAUUUACACCCAGUCCUGUCAUACAGACCACUAUAGGUGGUUCCGACUUGUGUGCAGGCAUACUUAUUGAGCUAUAGAUUCAGCCGUACAAGCCACUUUAGGUGGAUCCAGCUAAUAUGUUAUUUCUCAUGAGUUAAUUCACCUAAGUUACUUAUUCAGUUAUUUUGAGAUAUUUGGCAUGGCAUACUUAUGAUUAUCGCUAUUCUAAGCAUGGUUUUGAUAUAGAUAUGAAUAUAUGCUAUUUUAUGGGAAAUUAUACAGGUUUUACAGCGAGAGGUUAGAACUUUUGAUAAAUGAAAUGGUUUUGAAAAGCUUUGUUUUUGCCCACUCACACUUUCUGUUUUGCGCCCCUCUAGGUUUUAGGUAUGAGUGCUUGUUGGUGGCUUACGAGGAUUUGACGAAGGUUCUGACAGAUUAUCACCAAUGUAAGAUCAUCUUUGGGUGUUGUAUAAUUAAUAUUCGUCUUGUUGGACUGCACUUAGGCUACUUAUGCUCUGGUUGUGCAAUCACACUUAAUAUCGCACUUGCACCUUAUCUUAUCUACUACUCUAGUUUGUUUGGUUUUAUUUAUUCGCAUUUCUUAUAUUAAUAUUGUUUUCACACUGUGCACAUGGCUACGUCACCCUCACAUGACGGCCAGCAUACCUCGAUCUAAUAAUAUAUUUUCAUUGUGUCUUAUUUCUCCACCAACCAUUUAAUAAAAAUGUUAAUAAUAUAUUUAUCUUUUUAAAAGAAGAUUUUUAAACUCCUAUUUAACUAAUUACAAAAAUUUUGAAACAAAACAAAACAUAAUUUAAAAUAAUAAAUAAAUGUUGGUGGGUGGGGUGUGUGAUAUCUGUGGUGGAGAGAGAGGCUGGAAAAGAUUUUAGCUACGAUCAAAGGAGGAAUGGGUGUGUGCUAGACGAAGAUGAUAAAAAGUGAGAUCUACGACUUUGACAGAAAAGAAAGAAAAAGAGUGGUGUGGGGCCCAUAUAUUAAAGAAGAAAAAAGAAUUGGUAGCAUGUGCUUUGAUACAUUGAAUCAAGUCCAAUCGGACGAGAAAUUUUUAGUUUUUACGGGAAUACGGAUGGUAAAUUACGUGUUUUUAUGUAAAUGGUGAAAUUUUUUAAUUUUGAAGUUAUUAAUCUUUUAACACACAUAUCCCACCAUUCAUAUAGAGACAUAUGAAGUACCACCUUGUGUGAUGGUCACAUUGAAAAAUCUUCCCAAUCGACUAUCAAACGUCAACAAAAGCAUCUUUCUCUCUUAUUUUAGUUUCUCACCUAACACACCUUAAACCAAUUUGAAAUUUCGCCGCUUCUUACACAAGGCUAGCCUCACUCUACCUUGAUUGGUUUGAUAUUUCUUCGUUUAAAGAAAAACGAAAAAGAAGUUGUCGAAUAGUAAAGGACACUAACACAAAAUUAAACAUACUCACCGUGUCAUCAAUCAUUCAAUUACACAAAGCAAAGAAUGCCAGCACGAAACAUCCUCAAAUCCUUCUUGGAUACUAUAUAUGAUACAUUUCCCACCAAUUCCAUCACUUUCAAAGAUGAUGCUCCAACUACUUUCGGCGUCUUCUUUUUCUACUUUUUUUUUAACUAUAUAUGAUACCCUUCCCACCAACUCCGUCACCACUCUCUCAUUUCCCCUUGUCUCCAUCAGAUCCUCUUUGUUCUCUAUCCUUCACAUUGCUUUCUCUCUCUGCUGCUCUCACCUCGACCUCUCUUCCUUUCCUUCCUCGCUCCGCCAGCCAACCAUUUGAGAUCAUCCACCUCUUCGAAAGUGUGGGAGAAGAGGAGGGAGGUGCAGAAUAGAUUAGAGACUGAAGUUUUAGGCUUCAGUUUUUAUAUUUCCAAAUUGCCCCAAAGAUUUCAAGAUAUCAAAAUCUGCCUCAAAAUAAUUCAACCCGUGUCGGAGGUGUGUCCAACCCAUUGACCGGUGUCUUGACCGUGUCCAACCCGUGUCAGGGGCAUAUCGUCGGCGUGUCGAAGUGUCACUUAUGUGCUUAGAGCUGAUUGCUUGGAACACUUCCGAUUUGCGUUGAGCAGCCAAAUGGCCCGGGAUUCUGCUCCUGCAGUUUUUCCAUGGAAAUACCAUGUGUUUCUGAGUUUCAGAGGUGAAGACACCCGCCGGGGUUUUACAGAUCAUUUAUACAAACAGUUGGAGGCGCGAGGAAUCAAGACUUUCAGGGACGAACCAGAACUUGAACGAGGGACAGAUAUCAAUCCAGAGCUCCUGAAGGCAAUUGAGCAAUCAAGGUCUGCAAUCAUAGUUCUUUCGACAAACUUUGCUUCUUCAAGUUGGUGUUUGCGAGAACUUACUCAUAUUGUUCGUUGCAUGGAAGAGAAAAAGAGAAUUUUUCCCAUUUUUUAUGGCGUGGAACCUUCUGAUGUACGCCAUCAACGAGGGAGUUUUGGCGAAGCCUUUGCGGAACAUGAAGUAAAUUAUCGAGAACACAUGGAGGAGGUAAAUGAGUGGAGAAAGUCGUUAGAAAGGGUGGCUAAUCUCGCUGGGUGGAAUUCAAAGGAUU